UAGAGACAAACUUGUAAGUCACUCUGGAUAAGAGUGUCAGCUAAAUGCCAUAAA
rfam:Astyanax mexicanus chromosome 25, whole genome shotgun sequence.